GUCCUGUUGACGAGUCCCAAAUUGGACGAAAUGAGCAUCCUGGAU
rfam:Trichobilharzia regenti genome assembly, scaffold: TRE_scaffold0069803